CCUACGGGAGGCAGCAGUGAGGAAUAUUGGUCAAUGGCCGAGAGGCUGAACCAGCCAAGUCGCGUGAGGGAAGACGGCCCUACGGGUUGUAAACCUCUUUUGUCGGGGAGCCAAGCGAGUCACGUGUGACUCAUUGCGAGUACCCUACGAACAAGCAUCGGCUAACUCCGUGCCAGCAGCCGCGGUAAUACGGAGGAUUCGAGCGUUAUCCGGAUUUAUUGGGUUUAAAGGGUGCGCAGGCGGAGGUGCAAGUCAGCGGUCAAAUUUCGGGGCUCAACCCCGUACUGCCGUUGAAACUGCAGCCCGUGAGAGCGCGAGAAGUAGGCGGAAUGCGUGGUGGAGCGGUGAAAUGCAUAGAGAUCACGCAGAACUCCGAUUGCGAAGGCAGCAUACCGGGGCGCAACUGACGCUCAUGCACGAAAGCGUGGGUAUCGAACAGGAUUAGAUACCCCUGUAGUC
rnacentral:rRNA from 1 species